CCUACGGGGGGCAGCAGUGGGGGAUAUUGCACAAUGGGGGGAACCCUGAUGCAGCGACGCCGCGUGGGUGAAGAAGCGCCUCGGCGUGUAAAGCUCUGUCAGCAGGGACGAAAAUGACGGUACCUGAAGAAGUAGCCCCGGCUAACUACGUGCCAGCAGCCGCGGUAAUACGUAGGGGGCAAGCGUUAUCCGGAUUUACUGGGUGUAAAGGGGGCGUAGUCGGCGAUGCAAGCCAGAAGUGAAAGCCUGGGGCCCAACCCCGGGACUGCGCUUGGAACUGCGUGGCUGGAGUGCAGGAGGGGCAGGCGGAAUUCCUGGUGUAGCGGUGAAAUGCGUAGAUAUCAGGAGGAACACCGGUGGCGAAGGCGGCCUGCUGGACUGCAACUGACGUUGAGGCCCGAAAGCGUGGGGAGCAAACAGGAUUAGAUACCCGAGUAGUC
rnacentral:rRNA from 1 species